UUUGUUGUGCCGGAAGGCUGAGACACGCCAUCUGCCCCUUUCCAUCAAGGAUCAUUCAUCUCUGAUGUGGUCUAGGUAUUGUAGACCUCUCCGUGGUCAGGGUAAGUGGUGAUUGGCUAGGCUGGUGCUGCCCGGAAGAGUAGUGAUCCUUAAACCCCCAAUCCCUGAGCGAUUCAAGGGGAAACACCAGCAAGUACAUAAAGUGUGAUUCUGACUGCCAUCUGACUGCCUCCUUGUCCUCCAGGGCUCGCUGCUGUCGAUGAGAUCAAUGCUGUGAUUCGGGAAGGUCAUCCCAGUAACACCGUGAUGGCACUCAUGAAACCUGAGGCCCAGCUCCCGACCGUCCAUCCCUUUGCUGCUGUUCUGUAUCAGGAUGAACUGUUCAACCUUCAGAAACAGAGCUCUUUGAACUACCUGUCCCACAGGGAGCUGUCCACAACAGUAGAAAUGGUGUCAGGUGUUGCUUUGCUAAACCAGGCAUUAGAAACAGAAGAUCUUCUGUCCAUACAGAAUCAUCUCCAAAAUCCCUCAAUAGGCUUCAAUAACCUGGAUGAAGAACACUUGGAACGGUACGCUAGCAGGCUCAUGUCCAUCAAAAGAGAAGCCUCAUCUCAAGGACAGGAUAACCUGAGCCAGGAUGAAAUCCAGAAUCAUAUUGAUAUCAUUUAUGUGGAAAUUGAAAAAGAAAAAGCAAUGAUUGCUGCAGUCAUAGCAAUUAAUCAAGCCAUUAAGAAGGGCAUCUCAAAGCAGACUCUUAUAUCUCUGAAGAAUCCAAAAGCUGUUUUAACUUCUGUCAAUGGUGUCUUUGCUGAGAAUUAUCAAAAGGAACUUUGGGAAGCCAAGCAGAGAAAAGAAGAGAGUGCAAAAGUGAAGAAUAUCCUUCUUUCUGAAGAAGAAAGAGAUCCAUAUGAGGAGCUCCUGACCCAAGUAGAAAUCCAAGGGAGCAUCAAUAAAAUCAACAGGCUUAUUGCUAUCAAUCAAAUCAAUGCUGUGAUUCGAGAAGGUCAUCCCAGUAACACCGUGAUGGCACUCAUGAAACCUGAGGCCCAGCUCCCGACCGUCCAUCCCUUUGCUGCUGUUCUGUAUCAGGAUGAACUGUUCAACCUUCAGAAACGGAGCUCUUUGAACUACCUGGCCCAUGAGGAGCUCUCUAUCACAUUAGAAAUGUUGUCAGCUGUCACAUUACUCAACAAGGCAUUGGAAACUGAGGAUCUUGUAUCGAUACAAAAUCAUCUCCACAAUCCCUCAAUAGACUUCAAUAGCCUCGAUGAACAGUACUUCGAACGGUAUGCUAGCAGGCUCAUGUCCAUCAAAAGAAAAGCCUUAUCUCAAGGACAGGAUAACCUGAGGAGGGAUGAAAUGCAGAAUCAAAUUGAUAGGGUCAAUGUGGAAAUUCAAGAGGAAAAAGCAAGGCUCGCUGCUGUCGAUGAGAUCAAUGCUGUGAUUCGGGAAGGUCAUCCCAGGAACACCUUGACUGCACUCAUGAAACCUGAGGCCAAGCUCCCUACUGUUCAUCCCUUUGCUGCUGUUCUGUAUCAGAAUGAACUGUUCAACCUUCAGCAACAGAGCUCUUUGUACUACCUGGCCCAUGAGGAGCUAUCUAUAGCAGUAGAAGUAUUGUCAGCUACUGCCUUGCUCAACCAGGCUUUGGAAAUGAAGGAUCUUGUGUCAGUACAGAAUUAUCUCAGAAAUCCUUCAAUAAACUUCAGUAACUUGGACAAAGAAUACUUGGAAAGGUAUGCUAGCAGGCUGGUGUCCAUUAAAAGAAAAGCUUCCUUUCAAGGACGAAAAAACUGGACUCAUAAAGAAAUCCAAAAUCAUAUUGAUACAGUUAGUGUGGAAAUUCAAGAAGAAAAAGCAAGGCUCGCUGCUGUCAAUGAGAUCAAUGCUGUCAUUCGGGAAGGUCAUCCCAGUAACACCGUGAUGGCACUCAUGAAACCUGAGGCCAAGCUCCCUACCGUUCAUCCCUUUGCUGCUGUUCUGUAUCAGGAUGAACUAUUCAACCUUCAGAAACAGAGCUCUUUGAACUACCUGGCCCACGAAGAGCUGUCCAUCAUGUUACAAAUGUUGUCAGCUGUUGCUUUGCUCAACCAGGCAUUGGAAAACGAGGAUCAUUUGAUAAUACAGAAUCAUCUCAGAAAUCCUUUAAUAGGCUUCAAUAACCUGCAGGAAGAACACAUGGAACGGUACGCUAGCAGGCUCAUGUCCAUCAAAAGAGAAGCCUCAUCUCAAGGACAGGAUAACCUGAGGCGGGAUGAAAUGCAGAAUCACAUUGAUAGGAUCAAUGUGGAAAUUGAAGAAGAAAAAGCAAGGCUCACUGCUGUCGAUGAGAUCAAUGCUGUAAUUCGAAAAGGUCAUCCCAGUAACACCGUGAUGGCACUCAUGAAGCCUGAGGCCAAGCUCCCUACCGUUCAUCCCUUUGCUGCUGUUCUGUAUCAGGAUGAACUUUUAAACCUUCAGAAACAGAGCUCUUUGAAUUACUUGGCCCACGAGGAGCUGUCCAUUACAAUAGAAAUGUUGUCAGCUGUUGCCUUGCUCAACCAGGCAUUGGAAACCAAGGAUUUUAUGUCAAUACAGAAUCAUCUCCUAAAUCCUUCAAUAGGCUUCAAAAACCUGGAUGGAGAACACAUGGAACGGUAUGCUAGCAAGCUCAUGUCCAUCAAAAGAGAAGCCUCAUCUCAAGGAAAAGAUAACUUGAGCAGAGAUGAAAUCCAGAAUCAAAUUGAUAGGGUCAAUGUGGAAAUUCAAGAAGAAAAAGCAAGGCUCGCUGCUGUCAAUGAGAUCAAUGCUGUGAUUCGAAAAGGUCAUCCCAGUAACACCAUGAGUGCACUCAUGAAACCUGAGGCCCAGCUCCCAGCUGUUCAUCCCUUUGCUGCUGUUCUGUAUCAGAAUGAACUGUUCAAACUUCAGAAACAGAGCUCUUUGAACUACCUAACCCAUGAGGAGCUCUCUAUAGCAUUAGAAAUGUUGUCAGCUAUCACUUUCCUCAACCUGUCAUUGGAAACAAAUGAUCUUGUGUCAGUACAGAAUGAACUCCAAAAUCCCUUAAUAGGCUUCAAAAACCUUAAGGGAGGAUACUUGGAAAGGUACGCUAGCAGGCUCAUGUCCAUUAAAAGAGAAGCCUCAUCUCAAGGACAAGAUAACCUGAGCCGGAAUGAAAUCCAAAAUUGUAUUGAUAUGGUUAAUGUGGAAAUUAAAAAAGAAAAAGCAAGGAAUGCUGCAGCCAUUCCAAUUAAUAAAGCUAUUAAGGAGGGCAUCUCAGAGCAGACUCUUGUAACUCUGAAGAAUCCAAAUGCAUUUUUAACCUAUAUCAAUGACAGCUUUGCCAAGAAUUAUCAAAAGGAACUUUGGGAAGCCCAGCAGAGAAAAAAAGAAAGUGCGAAAGUGAAGAAUAUCCUUCUUUCUGAAGAAGAAAGAGAUGCAAAAGAAGAGCAACUGACUCCUGCAGAAAUCCAAGGGAGCAUCAAUAAAGUCAACAGGCUCGCUGCUGUCAAAGAAAUCAAUGUUGUGAUUCAAGAAGGUGAUCCCAGUAACACCAUGACUGCACUCAUGAAACCUGAGGCCCAGCUCCCUACCGUUCAUCCCUUUGCUGCUGUUAUGUAUCAGGAUGAACUGUUCGACCUUCAGAAACAGAGCUCUUUGAACUAUCUGGCCCAUGAGGAGCUGUCCACAACAGUAGAAAUGUUAUCAGCUGUUGCUUUGCUUAACCAAGCUUUGGAAACCGAGGAUCUUGUGUCAAUACAGAAUCAUCUCCAAAACCCUUCAUUAGGCUUCAGUAACUUGGAUGAUGAAUACUUGGGAUGGUAUGCUAGGACACUCAUGUCCAUCAAAAAAGAAGCUUCAUCUCAAGGACAAGAUAUUUUAAGCCAGAAUGAAAUGCAAAAUCAUAUUGAUAUGGUUUAUGUGGAAAUUAAAAAAGAAAAAGCAAGGCUCGCUGCUGUCGAUGAGAUUAAUGCUAGGAUUCGAGAAGGUCAUCCCACUAACACCGUGACGGCACUCAUGAAACCUGAGGCUCAGCUCCCUACCGUUCAUCCCUUUGCUGCUGUUCUGUAUCAGAAUGAACUGUUCAACCUUCAGAAACAGAGCUCUUUGAAUUACCUGACCCCUGAAGAGCUGUCCAAGACAGUAGAAAUGUUGUCAGCAAUUGCUUUGCUCAACCAGGCAAUGGAAAACAAGGAUCUUGUGUCAAUACAGAAUCAUAUCAAAAAUCCUUUAAUAGGCUUCAGUAACCUCGAUGAUGAAUAUUUGGGAUGUUAUACUUGCAAGCUCCUGUGCACUAAAACAGACUCAUUUCAAGGACAUUACUUAAACCGGAAUGAAAUCCAAAAUCGUAUUAAUAUGGUUAAUGUGGAAAUUCAAGAAGAAAAAGCAAGACAUGCUGCAGUCAUUACAAUUAAUGAAGCUAUUAAGAGGGGCAUCACAGAACAGACUCUUGUAACUCUGAAGAAUCCAAAUGCAGUUUUAAUCUCUGUCAUUGAUAGCCUGGCUGAGAAUUAUCAAAAGGAACUUUGGGAAACCAAGCAGAGAAAAGAAGAGAGGGCAAAAGAGAAGAAUAUCCUUCUUACUGAAGCGGAAAGAGAUCCAUAUGAGGAGCUACUGACUCUUGCAGAAAUACAAGGAAGCAUCAAUAAAAUCAACAGGCUUAUUGCUGUCGAUGAGAUCAAUGCUGUGAUUCGAAAAGGUGAUCCCAGGAACACUGUGAUGGCACUCAUGAAACCUGAGGCCCAGCUCCCGACCGUCCAUCCCUUUGCUGCUGUUCUGUAUCAGGAUGAACUGUUCAACCUUCAGAAACAGAGCUCUUUGAAUUACCUGACCCCUGAAGAGCUGUCCAUGACAGUAGAAAUGUUGUCAGAUAUUGCUUUGCUCAACCAGGCAAUGGAAAACAAGGAUAUUGAGUCAAUACAGAAUCAUCUCCAAAAUCCUGCAAUAGGCUUCUGUAACGUCAAUGAAAAAUAUUUGGGAUGUUAUAUUUGUAAGCUCCUGUCCCUUAAAACAGAAGCCUCGUCUCAAGGAGAAGAUAACUUGAGCAAAAAUGAAAUCCAAAAUCAUAUUCAUAUGGUUAAUUUGGAAAUUCAAGAAGAAGAAGAAAGAAAUGCUGCUAUAGCAAACAUUAAUAAAGCCAUUGAUGGAAAAAACCAUAACAACACUCUAAUGGCACUGCAGGCACCUGCUGCCAAAGUGAAAAAUGUGAAUCCAGACAAUGCUUAUCACUAUCAAGAUGUUCUGUUUUAUGCGAAAGCAAAAAAAGUGAAGAGUUCUGAUACUUAUACAUUUCUUUGGCUGGAAGAAAUACAAGCAGCAAUAGACUAUGCCAAUCUGGAUGUGAUCAGAGUAACCAAAUGGUCCAAGCAGAUAUCUGAAAUUAAUCGUUGUUUGGAGAAUGAAGAUAAACAAAUAUUCCUGAAAUUACUACAAACCUCCUAUCCACAGCAAAGUGAAAUAAUGGCCCUGUAUUCUAAGAAUUAUUAUAAAGCUCUUUAUGAGGCCCAGAAAGAGAAGUCAUUUGGAGUGACUCAUGAAGGCUCGUGGUUGAAACUCAGGUUGCGUGACACAUAUAACUUCUAUUACAACAUAGAAACAGAAAUGGGUACCUGGAUUUAUCCUGAAGAUUUUGCAAAUAAAGUCUCUUGGCUGACAGAACCUGAAAUUAAGACUAUCGUUGAGGACCUUACAUCUCAUUACAUUUUGGAGCUAAUGUGGUCUCCCUAUGAAGUUAUUAUACCUCAAAUGGCUAAGGAUCCUUUGGUGGCCCAGAUUAAAAAACAGUUUGAAGAGCGAAAAAAUUUCCUGUCGAAAAAAGAGCCUUUUGUGAUCAAAAUACAGGCUUUCUGGAGGGGCUAUAGACAACGGAAACUUUUCCUUGAGAGGAAGCGUAUUUAUACUGAUAAUGUUUCUUCUAUUACUGAGCUUCAAUCCUUCAGAAUGUCAGAAAGAAAAAAGGAUUUUGUUACACGAAGACAUUUUUUCUAUGGCCAUCUUGCUGCAAUCGUGAAAAUUCAAGCCUGUAUAAGAAGAUACCAAACUAGAAGAGACUACAAUGCACUGAUGAAUGAAAAAUAUCCUCCUAUGUCUGCUCUGUGCAAGUUUUCUCAUCUGUUGAACCCAAGUGAAAAAGGUCUCCAGGAAGAACUAGAAUUAGAGAAUUUAAGACAGGAAGUAAUUUCCAAAAUCAAGGCUAAUCAAGCACUGGAAAAAGACCUGAACUUGAUGGACAUUAAGAUUGGACUGUUGGUAAAAAACAGGAUUACUCUACAGGAUGUUAUUUUACAAAAUAAGAAGCUAAAUAAGACUAAAGCUGAAAAAAUAAUUACAAUGAGUGGAAAACAAGGAAUUAAAAGUUUGAGUUUGGAGAAGAGAAAAAAACUGGAAGCCUACCAGCACCUGUUCUACAUUUUACAAACCAAUCCUUCCUAUCUGGCUAAGCUGAUCUUCCAGGUGCCACAGAUCAAGGGAACCAAUUUCAUGAAUAAUGCAAUUUUCACACUAUACAAUUAUGCUUCUAAUGAACGAGAAGAAUAUUUGUUUCUCAAGUUUUUAAAAACUGCUCUAGAGGAAGAAAUGCAAUCCCAAGUGAAUCAGAUACAGGACAUAGUGAACGAAAACGCUACAGUCAGUAAGAUGGUUAUCAACUUCAGCAGAGGAGCCAUUGCACAAAACGCUCUGUGCCAGCUAAUUUUCCCAGUGGUGAAAGAGAUCAUUGAUGAUACAUCCCUUGCCAUCAACACAAACCCAGUGGAUGUGUACAAGACUUGGAUUAACCAAUCAGAAGUGGAGACUGGAGCGAUCAGCAAGCUGCCAUAUAACAUCAAAAAAGAACAAGCCUUAUCACGUGCUGAAAUAAGAGCUAAAUUGGAUGAAUCUAUUGAGACCCUGCAAAGAGUAACCGAUAAAAUCUUGGACAUAAUGUUUUCUUCCCUUGAUCAAAUACCAUAUGGAAUGAGAUAUGUAGCCAAAAUGCUGAAGACUGCCCUCGAAGAGAAAUUCCCAAAUGCACCAGAAGAUGAGAUAUUAAAGAUUAUAGGAAACUUUCUAUAUUGUCAGUAUAUGAACCCAGCAAUUGUGACUCCAGAUAGAUUUGGCCUCCUUGACAUGAUUCCAGGAAAUCAAAUAUUCCCUGUCGAAAGGAAAAACUUAGAGUCAGUGGCCCAACUCCUAGAGCAUGCUGCCUCAGACAAGAUGUUUGAAGGAGAAAAUGAUCAUCUUUCAUCCUUGAAUUAUUACGUAUCAGAGACAUUUAAGAAGUUCAGAAACUUUUUCAAGGAAGUAUGCAAUGUCCCUGAGCCUGAAGACAAGUUUAAUAUAGAUGAAUUUACAGACAUAGUCACAAUCAACAAACCCACCAUAUACAUGACAAUAGAAGAGAUCAUCAACAUUCAUUCUCUACUACUAGAACACAAAGCUACAAUUGCUCCUGAAAAAAAUGACCCAUUGAAGGAGUUGCUGGCAGAUCUAAGAGAGGUCCCUGAUAUAGAAGCUUUUCUUGGGGAAGGAUCAGUUGACCCCAAUGACCCAAACAAGGAAAAUACACUAAAUGAGCUCUUGAAAACUGAAAUUUCUCUUUCACUAAGUAACAAGUAUGAUUUAAAAGGAGAAAAUAUAGAUCUCAGCAGUCUCAUGGGGAAUACCAAAAAGCUGAUCAUUGAUGUCAUCCAAGUACAAUCAGGACCUGAUUUGCUAGACAUCCUACAGAAACCAGCAACCGAAAGACAGGAAUUGGAGUAUAACUUAAGGAUGGAGAAAAAAAUUCUUUUGGCGUCCAAGAUCCCUGAAGAAAUGAAAAGCAACCAGAUCAUGCUUGAUGAUGCCAAACUGCCCUUAGAAGAAAAGAAGAGGAAAAUUCAGAGGAAUCUGCAGAUACUGGAAGAAAGUGGACUUGUAUCAGAAGCCAAUAAAUACCAAGAACUUCUCUCUGAGAUUGCUAAGGAUAUCCGGAAUCAGCAUGCAUGUCGUGAACGCCGAAGAUGUGAGUUGAAGAAACUUCGUCAAACUCUGGAAGCGCUUAAUUCCAAGUCAAUAUUUUUUCAAGAUCAAAUUAAUCAUUAUGAUGCCUACAUAAAGACUUGUUUAGACAACUUACCAAUAAAAACCACAAAGAAGUCCUUUACGUUCUUUAGAAAAGAAAGAUCAAGCCCCAAGAAGGCCAAGCCAGUGAAGUACACAGGGCACCAGCUCCACGUAAAGGGGGUCUUGCUGGAUAUUGAAGGCCUUAUCACCAAACAGUUUAAAAAUAUCAUGUUUCACUUCAUCCCUGGCAAAGAAGUGGGGAACUUCGAAAUCAAAACACGAUCACGAGAUUAUGAGAUAGAAAUUGUGAAACUCAAUAUUCAGCAGCCACCCCCACUGCCUCAAGCUGCUGCUGGCGCCCACAGCCCGCCCGCCCCCAUGUGGACUCCUCUGCAGCUGCCACUGCCCUAGCAGCUGUUUCCGGCCCAAGCUGUUUCUGCUGAUCCUACUCCUCAGUGUAUGCUGUGGAUCAUGCCCAGAUUUGAAGAGGAAAUGGAUCUCAUUUUUGGACAAGAUAUACAAAAGAGCCAUUUCACAGGGCCAAAGAAGCAAAGCUAAACCCGAAUUGUGCCAAAAGAGCACUCAGGUCAACAAAUAAACCAAUCCAGGAAGGAUUAAUAUACUUCUAAGCCAAUACAAAGGACUUGAACCUAGUGUGAAGACUCAAGGUUGCGAAGCUUAACACAUGUUAAGACGUAGGCCUUCCUUGUAUCCACAUUCUUUGUGAAAAUACAAAGUAUGUGACAAGUAUUCCAAACUUGGCUCCUAACCUGGCUCCUAUAAUCUAGUCCCUUUUCUGUCUUUUAUAGUGUGGCAAACUUUCUGUAGUCCUGGCUACUGACUGGGUAAAUGCUUACUUGCUUAGAUCAUUUUAAUUGGGUCCUGAUUCAAGGACAUGUUAUAGAUUUAUUUUUCCUUUACUUAGAAUUUUUACACAUAAGACUUUGAUAGUCUAUAUUUUCUUCCAGAAAUUAUCUUUUUUAUUUGGAUUUUUCUGAUGUCUUUUUAAUUUCUCUUGCCAAUUGAUUCAUAUACCUCAUAACUUAGCCAUGCAUCCCUAAAUGAUCCCUGUGUUUUUCUAUCACCCUCUUCAAGGGGGGAAUGUAAAAAUAUUACUAUUUUAAAUUGCAAAGUUUAAAUUCCUUUUGAGAAAAAUUUUAGGUUAAAAAACAUUCUACAUCUCUGAAUCCAAAAACUGAACUGUUUGGAGAAGAUACCAUGAAGAUGCCUCCAGACCACAAGCUACACGACAGGAUUAAGAAUGAACUUUGGGUGUGGUUGAUUGAACAUUUAUUUGUAUGUAUACUUUCAUGCCAAAGGGAACUACCCCCUAACUGGCUUUUUGUCAAUGUGUCUAGCAAUUAUUUGUUUUGUACUUUUCCUCUUAUCCUCAAAUUAUUGUAAUCUUUAAGUUAAUUAUGUUUUCAUGAUCCUUUUGGGGGAAACCUUUCCCAAUAAGGAUCAAACAACGGAAUAUAAAAAUGGAGAUUUGAACCCCAGACUUCCAUCCCCAGAAGUCCUUGGCAAUUCCCAGAAUGCCCUAUAAUCUCACCAGAGAUACCUACCUGGGCUGAGAACAAAAUGGGUAUUUAAACUGACUGUACUGCCAACUUGAUGUCUCUCUCUCUGCUUCUUCUUCUAAGAGCAUGCAUCUCUCAAGAUGUAGUAAGUAAAAUUGAAUGUGUUAAAUGCAGGACUAACUAGUACCACACACUAUAUCAAGUAUAUAACAUUGAUUGUUCUGGCUCCAUUAUCCAGGAAAAGUGAAGAAAUGGGUCAAAUCAGGGAAUGUUAUUUCCCAUUUGUUUUGAUAUCUAGUCUCCUUUUCUAUUUUCUUUCAUGAUGUGGCAAUUUACUAUAGUCCAGACUGAUAAAUUGGGUUAUUGAGUGAUUGUAAUUCAGGCUUAUGGGACAUAGAUCUCUACAAGAACAUGUGAUUUGUGAAUUUUUUUUCUGUCCCAAAAUUUGUUGUGUUUUUGAUAUUCUAUAAUUCACACAGAGGUUAUUUUUAAAUUUCUUUGGAUUUUUUUUAUCACUGAUUCAUAUGCCUUAUGACUUGACCAUGUAUCCCUGUAUGAUUACUAUGUGUACCGCUAUAUCCUCCUCAAGGGGGAAUGUGUUAUUAUCAUCCUCAGGCAGGAAGACUCUGUUAUAGUUGUGAACUUUGAUUUGAAUUUGAACCUAAUUUAGAACAAGAGACUACCUCCCAGAAUCCAGAAGGUAAACAUUUUAGAGAAGGUGCCACGAAGAUGCCUACAGAGGCCACAUGCUGUACCAAAAGAUCCAGAGUGAACUUUCAGUUAUGGUAAAUAUGAACUAUUGGUGGGAGAGGAGGUUGAAUGCAUUUUUUUGAGUAUACACUCUUAUACCAAAAGGGGACUGCCUCAUAACUGGAUUUUUGUCAAUGCACCUAACAUUGGUUUUUUUUUUAUUUUUCUCUUUUAUUUCCCUCUUAUUCCCAUAUUAUUGCAAUUUCCCUUUAGAAGUGUAAUGGAUGGGGAAUUAUGAAGUCACCCACUGUGUUUACUUUGAGACCAGAGUGUGAGAAAGACAGAAUAGAGUCAGAAGGUGGAGAGGGGGAAUAGCUUGUUUCUCCCCUGUCUUUCCUUAGUAAAACCCACACUAGUUGUAUUUCAGAGUUACAGACUACAUUCCUUUAGAGAAUGGGUUGAAUGUAAGAUCCAAGACUAAACUGAUUCUCUCUCCUUGCGGAGAAAGUGUACCUUUUCUCCCCAAGCUUCAGGUCUCUCUCCCUGGAUAUUAUAAGGCAAGCACGUGAUAUAACAAAACAACUAUUUAUUCUUAAGGAACACACUUAAGAUAUGACAAAUAGGAUUGUUGGGUAAGGCAAUAGGAAAGUGGGAUGUAGGAAAUCCCUAAGAUUAACAACUGACCCCAUCCCCAAAUCCUGAAGGGUCAGGCAGUCUAACCCUCUUGGGUCAGUGGUAAAAGCUAUCCUGACUUCUGUCUGUCCUAUUUAUAAUAUAAAGUUCAUAAGGACCACUUUAGGAGGAUAGAGAGGCAAUCUUAGUAUUUUGCAAAAUUCCCUAUAAUCUAUCUUGGGUCUUUAUGUUGGUGAGAUCACAUUAUUGGUAUUUAAGUGGACGCAUGCUCCUCUCAUGCUCUCUUGGACCUGAGAACAGGCCACCAUCGGUCAGUUCUUUGUUUUAGUUAUUAUUAAUAAAAUUUUAUAAAAUAUAAUAUUUAGCUAUUGAUUAUUAAUUUCAAAGCCACAUUUUGGCAACCACAAAAGGGACUAUGAAUUCUCAAAAAUUUUUGAGCAGAUAGUUUUACAGUAAAGAUAGUAAGUUUGUCCCCAUUGCUGCCUACCACAAGGGUCCAGUGGCAGAGUGUGCCUAUGCUCCUGCCCCUCCCUGCUGCCUGCUUUGCCUGCUAUUUCUCCUGUCCAUCUGAUUGGCCAGCAUUCCUCACCAAUGUCCACCCUGCUUGGAGCCUCCUCUUGCCAAGACCAUACCCACCACAAGAUCCUGCCAAUCCUAGCCAUUUUUUUCCACAGAGGUUGACAUAUAAAAAUAUUUACUCCUCAAUCCCUUUACACACAACAUGUAUGUGUUUCUAGCAUGCCAUAGGCAUUUUUUAGCAUGGAGAAAGAACCCCACACCUAAUUUUCAAGCAGAUUUUUUAAAGCUGAUCCUGGACUCCUAGUUUAUAGGGCUGUUACUAAAGGUUUUUCACAGGGAGGGCAGUUAUUUCCAAAUAGUAGAUUUAAAGUCAGUUUUGGGGAAUAAGCCUGUUUUUUUCCUUCUUUCUCUUGACCCAAAACACCAAGGAGAAGUACUCUUUCUCUCACAUGCAAAUACACUAUUGUUUUCCCUUGGAGUGUUGCUUCUUUCUGUUUACUCUGUAAACAAACCCCAUUCAGCUUCUUUCAGGAAAAAUGCUAUUGCAAGGCAUGCUUGAAACUAUGAAACAACAGUUUGAGUUGGUAAAGCUUAAAAGUGCAGUUUGGAUCUCCUUAAUUCUUUUCCUAGAAGUUUUUAUUUUCAAUGGAGAUUUCCCAAUUUAUUUCCCUCUCCUUAAGUAUAUGCCACAGGCUAGGCUGCUUAUGUGACAAACCAAUCUGAAAUAUUUUGACGAAGUUCUAAAAGUCUUAAAUGCUCUCAACAUGCAGAGUAGAGUGCUUAUAUGAGGAAAUUUAGACUUCUGACAAACAAAAUCUAAAUGGAUAAUAAAUUGGGGGGGAGGAAUUAAACUUUAAAAGAAGUCUGGAAGUUUAAAUUUAACUGUUUUGAGUUUGUUCUCCUCCUAAAAUAUAGAACAAGUCUAUUGGGAUUUGUGAAAAGGAUUUCGACUGCACUUCCUGUCUGCAGGAAUGGUCCUCAACUUACUGAUCUUUUUGACAGCAGACUCAAUUUGACUGAUGAUUCUAACUUUCUACAAUCUCUUCUUCAUUUUCUUCUUUGAUGAUUUGUACAUUUUCAUUAUUUAUACCAUGUGCUAAUUUGAUAUGUGAAUAAUGAUACCAUGAAUCUCUACCCAAAACUUUUAUUGAAGAUGGAGAAACUAACACAACUGUAAGGAUCUAACCAACUCUCUUGUGUUGCUGAUGUUUUAGUAAAAAUUUUUUACAUAUACCAUAUCUCCUGCUUUGUAACUAUGGAUACAAUAAUUCAAAGGACCAGUUUGAAUUAAUACUCCCCUAUCAUGUAA